ACGUGAUCUGAGUUCAGACCGGAGUAAUCCAGGUCAGUUUCUAUCUAUAAAGGGCUUUUUCUAGUACGAAAGGACCGAAAAAGCACGGCCUAUGUUUUAUACAAGCCGAACUCACUAAUUUAUGAUUUAAACUUAAUAAUAAAUUGACCUAUGACUUAACUCUAGAAAAGAGUA
rnacentral:rRNA from 1 species